UACAGAGGUCUCAAGCGUUGUUCGGAUUCAUUGGGCGUAAAGGGUGUGUAGGUGGCGCGCUAAGUCGGGUGUGAAAUUUCGGAGCUUAACUCCUAAACUGCAUUUGAUACUGGCGUGCUUGAGGACUGGAGAGGAGACUGGAAUUCAUGGUGUAGCAGUGAAAUGCGUAGAGAUCAUGAGGAAGACCAGUGGCGAAGGCGGGUCUCUGGACAGUUCCUGACACUGAGACACGAAGGCCAGGGGAGCAAACGGG
rnacentral:rRNA from 1 species